rnacentral:rRNA from 1 species
UCGGGAAUUUUGGGCAGUGGGCGAAAGCCUGACCCAGCAACGCCGCGUGAAGGAUGAAGGCCCUCGGGUUGUAAACUGCGGUAGUAGGGGAGGAACGCAAGUGACUGUACCCUACGGAAAGUGGUUGGUAACUACGUGCCAGCACCAGCGGUAAUACGUAGACCACAAGCGUUAUCCGGAUUUAUUGGGCGUAAAGAGCAUGUAGGAGGUCCGGUGCGUCUCUGGUUAAAGCCCACCGCCUAACGGUGGAAGUGCCAGAGAUACGAUCGGACUGGAGGAUGUGAGAGGUGCAUGGAACUCACGGUGUAGGGGUGAAAUCCGUUGAUAUCGUGGGGAACACCAAAGGCGAAGGCAGUGCACUGGUACAUUCCUGACUCUGAGAUGCGAAAGCGUGGGGAGCAAAAAGGAUUAGAUACCCACGUAGUCCCUGAGCGGGCUGGCAAGGCGCAU